GACGAACGCUGGCGGCGUGCUUAACACAUGCAAGUCGAACGGAAAGGCCCUGCUUUUGUGGGGUGCUCGAGUGGCGAACGGGUGAGUAACACGUGAGUAACCUGCCCUUGACUUUGGGAUAACUUCAGGAAACUGGGGCUAAUACCGGAUAGGAGCUCCUGCUGCAUGGUGGGGGUUGGAAAGUUUCGGCGGUUGGGGAUGGACUCGCGGCUUAUCAGCUUGUUGGUGGGGUAGUGGCUUACCAAGGCUUUGACGGGUAGCCGGCCUGAGAGGGUGACCGGCCACAAUGGGACUGAGAUACGGCACAGGCUGCUUCGGGGUGCAGCCGUGUGGAAUAUUGCACACAGGGCGGAAGCCAGAGAGAGCAACUCCGCGUGCUGGAUGACGGCCUUCGGGUUGUAAACCGCUUUCGCCUGUGACGAAGCGGGAGUGACGGUGAUGGAUGAAGAAGCACCGGCUAGCAACGUG
rnacentral:rRNA from 1 species